rnacentral:rRNA from 1 species
GAUGAACGCUGGCGGCGUGCCUAAUACAUGCAAGUCGAGCGAACAGACGAGGAGCUUGCUCCUUCGACGUUAGCGGCGGACGGGUGAGUAACACGUAGGUACCUACCUAUAAGACUGGGGUAACUUCGGGAAACCGGAGCUAAUACCGGAUAAUAUUUCGAAACGCAUGGUUCGAUAGUGAAAAAUGGCUUUGCUAUCACUUAUAGAUGGACCUGCGCCGUAUUAGCUAGUUGGUAAGGUAACGGCUUACCAAGGCAACGAUACGUAGCCGACCUGAGAGGGUGAUCGGCCACACUGGAACUGAGACACGGUCCAGACUCCUACGGGAGGCAGCAGUAGGGAAUCUUCCGCAAUGGGCGAAAGCCUGACGGAGCAACGCCGCGUGAGUGAUGAAGGUCUUCGGAUCGUAAAACUCUGUUAUUAGGGAAGAACAAACGUGUAAGUAACUGUGCACGUCUUGACGGUACCUAAUCAGAAAGCCACGGCUAACUACGUG